rnacentral:rRNA from 1 species
UACAGAGGUCUCGAGCGUUGUUCGGAUUCAUUGGGCGUAAAGGGUGCGUAGGUGGCUAGGUAAGUCGGAUGUGAAAUCCCGGGGCUCAACCCCGGAACUGCAUUCGAUACUGCCUGGCUAGAGUACUGGAGAGGAGAUUGGAAUUUACGGUGUAGCAGUGAAAUGCGUAGAUAUCGUAAGGAAGACCAGUGGCGAAGGCGAUUCUCUGGGCAGUUCCUGACACUGAGGCACGAAGGCUAGGGGAGCAAACGGG